UACGUAGGGGGCAAGCGUUGUCCGGAUUUAUUGGGCGUAAAGAGCGUGUAGGCGGCUAUAAAGGUCCGCUGUGAAAACUCGAGGCUCAACCUCGAGACGUCGGUGGAAACCGUAUGGCUAGAGUCCGGAAGAGGAGAGUGGAAUUCCUGGUGUAGCGGUGAAAUGCGCAGAUAUCAGGAAGAACACCCGUGGCGAAGGCGGCUCUCUGGGACGGUACUGACGCUGAGGAGCGAAAGCGUGGGGAGCGAACAGG
rnacentral:rRNA from 1 species